UACGUAGGGGGCAAGCGUUGUCCGGAAUUAUUGGGCGUAAAGAGCGUGUAGGCGGCCAGAUAAGUCCGCUGUGAAAUCUCGAGGCUCAACUUCGAGCUGUCGGUGGAAACUAUCUGGCUAGAGUCCGGAAGAGGAGAAUGGAAUUCCUGGUGUAGCGGUGAAAUGCGCGGAUAUCAGGAAGAACACCCGUGGCGAAGGCGGUUCUCUGGGACGGUACUGACGCUGAGACGCGAAAGCGUGGGGAGCGAACAGG
rnacentral:rRNA from 1 species